UUAAGCGACUAAGCGUACACGGUGGAUGCCCUGGCAGUCAGAGGCGAUGAAGGACGUGCUAAUCUGCGAUAAGCGUCGGUAAGGUGAUAUGAACCGUUAUAACCGGCGAUUUCCGAAUGGGGAAACCCAGUGUGAUUCGUCACACUAUCAUUAACUGAAUCCAUAGGUUAAUGAGGCGAACCGGGGGAACUGAAACAUCUAAGUACCCCGAGGAAAAGAAAUCAACCGAGAUUCCCCCAGUAGCGGCGAGCGAACGGGGAGCAGCCCAGAGCCUGAAUCAGUGUGUGUGUUAGUGGAAGCGUCUGGAAAGGCGCGCGAUACAGGGUGACAGCCCCGUACACAAAAAUGCACAUGCUGUGAGCUCGAUGAGUAGGGCGGGACACGUGGUAUCCUGUCUGAAUAUGGGGGGACCAUCCUCCAAGGCUAAAUACUCCUGACUGACCGAUAGUGAACCAGUACCGUGAGGGAAAGGCGAAAAGAACCCCGGCGAGGGGAGUGAAAAAGAACCUGAAACCGUGUACGUACAAGCAGUGGGAGCACAGAGCAAUCUGUGUGACUGCGUACCUUUUGUAUAAUGGGUCAGCGACUUAUAUUCUGUAGCAAGGUUAACCGAAUAGGGGAGCCGAAGGGAAACCGAGUCUUAACUGGGCGUUAAGUUGCAGGGUAUAGACCCGAAACCCGGUGAUCUAGCCAUGGGCAGGUUGAAGGUUGGGUAACACUAACUGGAGGACCGAACCGACUAAUGUUGAAAAAUUAGCGGAUGACUUGUGGCUGGGGGUGAAAGGCCAAUCAAACCGGGAGAUAGCUGGUUCUCCCCGAAAGCUAUUUAGGUAGCGCCUCGUGAAUUCAUCUCCGGGGGUAGAGCACUGUUUCGGCAAGGGGGUCAUCCCGACUUACCAACCCGAUGCAAACUGCGAAUACCGGAGAAUGUUAUCACGGGAGACACACGGCGGGUGCUAACGUCCGUCGUGAAGAGGGAAACAACCCAGACCGCCAGCUAAGGUCCCAAAGUCAUGGUUAAGUGGGAAACGAUGUGGGAAGGCCCAGACAGCCAGGAUGUUGGCUUAGAAGCAGCCAUCAUUUAAAGAAAGCGUAAUAGCUCACUGGUCGAGUCGGCCUGCGCGGAAGAUGUAACGGGGCUAAACCAUGCACCGAAGCUGCGGCAGCGACGCUGAUGCGUUGUUGGGUAGGGGAGCGUUCUGUAAGCCUGUGAAGGUGUGCUGUGAGGCAUGCUGGAGGUAUCAGAAGUGCGAAUGCUGACAUAAGUAACGAUAAAGCGGGUGAAAAGCCCGCUCGCCGGAAGACCAAGGGUUCCUGUCCAACGUUAAUCGGGGCAGGGUGAGUCGACCCCUAAGGCGAGGCCGAAAGGCGUAGUCGAUGGGAAACAGGUUAAUAUUCCUGUACUUGGUGUUACUGCGAAGGGGGGACGGAGAAGGCUAUGUUGGCCGGGCGACGGUUGUCCCGGUUUAAGCGUGUAGGCUGGUUUUCCAGGCAAAUCCGGAAAAUCAAGGCUGAGGCGUGAUGACGAGGCACUACGGUGCUGAAGCAACAAAUGCCCUGCUUCCAGGAAAAGCCUCUAAGCAUCAGGUAACAUCAAAUCGUACCCCAAACCGACACAGGUGGUCAGGUAGAGAAUACCAAGGCGCUUGAGAGAACUCGGGUGAAGGAACUAGGCAAAAUGGUGCCGUAACUUCGGGAGAAGGCACGCUGAUAUGUAGGUGAAGUCCCUCGCGGAUGGAGCUGAAAUCAGUCGAAGAUACCAGCUGGCUGCAACUGUUUAUUAAAAACACAGCACUGUGCAAACACGAAAGUGGACGUAUACGGUGUGACGCCUGCCCGGUGCCGGAAGGUUAAUUGAUGGGGUUAGCGCAAGCGAAGCUCUUGAUCGAAGCCCCGGUAAACGGCGGCCGUAACUAUAACGGUCCUAAGGUAGCGAAAUUCCUUGUCGGGUAAGUUCCGACCUGCACGAAUGGCGUAAUGAUGGCCAGGCUGUCUCCACCCGAGACUCAGUGAAAUUGAACUCGCUGUGAAGAUGCAGUGUACCCGCGGCAAGACGGAAAGACCCCGUGAACCUUUACUAUAGCUUGACACUGAACAUUGAGCCUUGAUGUGUAGGAUAGGUGGGAGGCUUUGAAGUGUGGACGCCAGUCUGCAUGGAGCCGACCUUGAAAUACCACCCUUUAAUGUUUGAUGUUCUAACGUUGACCCGUGAUCCGGGUUGCGGACAGUGUCUGGUGGGUAGUUUGACUGGGGCGGUCUCCUCCUAAAGAGUAACGGAGGAGCACGAAGGUUGGCUAAUCCUGGUCGGACAUCAGGAGGUUAGUGCAAUGGCAUAAGCCAGCUUGACUGCGAGCGUGACGGCGCGAGCAGGUGCGAAAGCAGGUCAUAGUGAUCCGGUGGUUCUGAAUGGAAGGGCCAUCGCUCAACGGAUAAAAGGUACUCCGGGGAUAACAGGCUGAUACCGCCCAAGAGUUCAUAUCGACGGCGGUGUUUGGCACCUCGAUGUCGGCUCAUCACAUCCUGGGGCUGAAGUAGGUCCCAAGGGUAUGGCUGUUCGCCAUUUAAAGUGGUACGCGAGCUGGGUUUAGAACGUCGUGAGACAGUUCGGUCCCUAUCUGCCGUGGGCGCUGGAGAACUGAGGGGGGCUGCUCCUAGUACGAGAGGACCGGAGUGGACGCAUCACUGGUGUUCGGGUUGUCAUGCCAAUGGCACUGCCCGGUAGCUAAAUGCGGAAGAGAUAAGUGCUGAAAGCAUCUAAGCACGAAACUUGCCCCGAGAUGAGUUCUCCCUGACUCCUUGAGAGUCCUGAAGGAACGUUGAAGACGACGACGUUGAUAGGCCGGGUGUGUAAGCGCAGCGAUGCGUUGAGCUAACCGGUACUAAUGAACCGUGAGGCUUAACCUU
rnacentral:rRNA from 1 species